rnacentral:rRNA from 2 species
GGGUUGUGAGGUUAAGCGACUAAGCGUACACGGUGGAUGCCCUGGCAGUCAGAGGCGAUGAAGGACGUGCUAAUCUGCGAUAAGCGUCGGUAAGGUGAUAUGAACCGUUAUAACCGGCGAUUUCCGAAUGGGGAAACCCAGUGUGAUUCGUCACACUAUCAUUAACUGAAUCCAUAGGUUAAUGAGGCGAACCGGGGGA